AAUAUUUGUUUUGUUCUUUUUAUAGAAAAUAUAUAAUUAUUUAUAUAUUUACUCUUAUUUAUUGGUUCUCUAAACCUACUGUUCAUUUCAAUUUUGUGUUGAAAGUGUCUGGCUUCAUUCAUCGAGCCACUAUUUUAUCAGAAGUCCAGAAGUCUUGCACAUCAACAAAAAGGAAUACAUUUUUACAUUGUCUUGUAUAAACUUUAAUCAAGCAGUUUGGCAUUUAGCAAGCUACCCAAUAGACUUUAGCAGCAGAGGACUGUAAUUGUCAGAUACUUUAGUGCUAUGAAAUCUUUACAAGUUGAAAGUCACACAUUAUGUUUUCUUCCUUGUUUAUAUAAUUUAGCAUUGUUUAAAAACAUAAUAAAGCUUAUCAAGAUUUUUUUGGAAAUAAGUCCACAUCCAGCCAUCUAUUUCAAGUAUUUUGAAACCAGUAAAGUCUCCUUGUUUAAUUUCCAAAUCAAUCAAUCAAUCAAUCAAUCAAAUUUUAUUUGUAUAGCACAUUUCAGCAGCAAGGCAUUUCAAAGUGCUUUACAUCAUAUCAAACACAGAAACACAAUGCAAGAUAGAAUCAACAAUCAAAACACGACAUUAAGUCAGGUUCCAUCAAUAAAUUUGUAAUUGAUUAGGUUUCAAAUACAAUCCUAAACAGGUGGGUUUUUAAUAUGACACCCAGCUUUAAUCUUUAACCUUUGGUUAUUAUAUUCAGAAAGUCGUAACACCAAACUGUUGUACUCUGUCAUUUUAUAUGGUGGAUCCAUGAAAAUAUGGAAUAUAUAACCCCUCACAUUAUUUCCCUGUGUUUUAGCAACCAUCCAGCCACGCUCUGCUACAGCAACAUCCUGUAAAAACAAAAUCACCACUGAAAGUUGCCCAAAGGCAUGGAUAAUCAAGGACAACAAAAUGAAUGGCAAAGACGUUUUGACAGUUUCAUGUGGUCCGCGUUUUAAAAAUAACUUCAAACUGGUAUUAAGAGCUUUGCCAAGGAAUUGUUCUUGGCCAAAUGCCGGUACCUACUCGUGCCUUGAAGUUGUGGUAAAAGGAAACACUUACAAAAUGUGCAAAAUAUGCUGCCAAAAACAUUCAUGCUCUGCUCCAAAUUUUUGCAAGGGCUGUAAAGAGAGAAAAGAGUUAUUCUUUAAAACAACCGACUUACCAGUUGAAAUAGAAUUAAAAGAUUCUACCUGUGAACUGUCUGAAACUCAAAGUACUUUUGAUGAAACAAGUUAAUCUCUGCAGUUGUUUAAUGAAACAAAAAGUUGGAUUGAAGCCUUGAAUUACUGCGAUCAACUGAGUUUCUCUCUGGUCGAAAUAACUAACCAGACAGUUUGGGACGAGCUAAAGAACAUCUUGGUAAACAAGACAGAAUUGCAGAAAGGGGUCUGGGUCGGCCUCGAGCGGUCCAUUUUUGGCACCAACAUAAAGUGGCAGUGGACAUCGGGAGCCAAAGCUGAACAGUCUGAGUGGAUCAGCAGUUUUCCGGCUAAUGGUCUCAACAAUCACUGUGGAAAGAUUGUCUGGAGUAAUCAGUCAAAAAACAUCCAGCUGCUUGAUGCCAACUGCCAUGAUGAAUUACCCUUCAUCUGCCAAGAUACGACUGUGAUGCCUGAAAACUAAAUUAAUCUUACUCUGGAGGAUUGUUUUGAAUCACUGCUGGUGUAUUUCUCGCAUGCCUUUCAAAUAAAAUUUGGUGUUUUGCCUUUCUUA